AGGCCUAAAAUACAUGACCCAAACCUAAAGCCCAAUUACAAUAUGGCCCAAAUGCCCAAAACAGUUUCUGAAACCCUAGGGCAACAAUAGCAGCAUCUAGCGCCGCAGCCAAGCCACUCCGCACGAGCCAAAUCUCCACUCGCGCACCUUCUCCAAACUUGUACCUGCAGCAAUAAACAGUAUAAGUAGCAAAGAUGGCAAGAAAAUCAGAAGAUCGCGAAUCAAGCAGAUAUGAAUGGAUUUUCUUUUUAUUUUCUUGUUUCAUUACGGCUAUAAAAAGCCAUUGAAAAUAUUGUAAAGGGGAAUUCGAGGAUCAAUAAACAAAAACGAGUAUUUCACAAAAACAACAAAGAAUACAAAAGAGAACAAAAAUCGAAUGUUGAUAUCUAUUUUCUUGCCUCGUUUCAUUAUUUUUUUACUUUUAUUUUUUUAUUUUUUAUACGCAAAAAUAAAAUAAAAAGGAAGAGGAAGGGACUUACCUUUGCUAGGUUUUGUAACACCGCCGGGACGGCCGAGGGAGUCACCUCUGAGGAUAGGUGGCCAGAAACCGAAAGGUUUCUUUGUUUUUUUUCUUUUUUUUCUUUUUUGUUAAUGUUUUGGGGAUUUUUGGACCGAGAUUUUGGUUUAGGGGGUUUGUAAAUACCAGAUCUGAGGUUUUCUUUUUUUUCGGCCACCGCGUAUGGCGACGCCGUCGUCGGUGACAAGUGGCCGAUGCGGUGGUCCCUUUGCCGGACUUUGGGCUGGUGCCCGAAG
rnacentral:lncRNA from 1 species